GACGAACGCUGGCGGCGUGCCUAAUACAUGCAAGUAGGACGCAGUUGCGAACGGGUGAGUAAGGCGUAGGUCACUGACUAUUAGAGGGGGAUAACUAUUGGCAACGAUAGCUAAUACCGCAUACUAGUAUAUGGACCUGCGUUGUAUUAGCUCGUCGUGAGGGUAAUGGCCUACCUAGGCGACGAGACAUAGCCGACCUGAGAGGAUGAGCGGCCCAACUGGUACUGAGACACGUCCCAGACUCCUACGGUAGGCAGCAGUAUGGAAUCUUCGGCAAUGGGGGGAACCCUGACCGAGCAACGCCGCGUGAGUGAAGAAGGUUUUCGGAUCGUAAAGCUCUGUUGUUAAGGAAGCGGUAUCUAACCAGAAAGCCACGGCUAACUACGUGCCAGCAGCCGCGGUAAUUC
rnacentral:rRNA from 1 species